AUGUGUGAUACUGACAGCCUUUUGGACCAUAGAACAUGUUCACCCACAUGGAUGCCACUACCGAAAACAAGCAGCCACAUUCUAUACCCACAUACAAGUUCCACAGGAUUUCAGAAGCUGAAAACGACAAAAAUGGCAAUUAUAGAAAUUUACAAUGUAACUAUUUUGACAGAGCAUCCCACACCACCGCCCCCACAACCCACGGUUGAUUUGAUUUGCCACGGGCAUGGAUCAGGACACAAGGCGACCCUUCUAGGACGGGGCAAAUGGGAAGCAGGGUGGAUUUGCUCUUUCUUUCUUUCUUUCUUCCUUCCUGAACUCCUGGACUGGGCCCAAAAGUGUGCUGUUGUUGUUGUUCCUCCUGCCGCCGCCGCCGCCGCCGCCAUCCGUGCGCCCCGUCACCCUCCCUCAGGCAAGAGAGAGCCAGGACCAGCGGAGAGCGGAAGGAAGCUCGCUCGCCAGAGAAAUACGUCCAACGACAGCCGCCGCCGCCCCCGGCCCUUCGACAGCAGCGGCCCUGGCGAGCGCGUACGGAACACAAGGGCAGCCGGCUGGCCACCAACCCAGUCACAAGACGCCGCGCUCUCCUCCCGGCCGCGGCCGGUGCCUACUCAAAGCAGCGGAGCGGCGACCGGAAGCGUAUUUAUAGCUUGGCUGGAUACGCGCUUGCGUCACGGAGCGCGGCACCGCCAGACGUUCUCGGGCGUGUACGUAAUGGGAACGCACAGCGGCCCGCUAUUUAUAACUAUCCCGAGGAGGGGUGGCGCGUACGGUUUGUGGAAAAGUAUUUUACAUCUUUUUCUCGAGAUUUCCGUCUCGCCUUCCCCCUCCCCCGGUGAAAUAACCACAGAAGGGAGGUGUGUUGAUACGGAAGCUGCGCGCCUAGCCUCCUCCCAAGCAGUUGGCGUCGCUCCCACAUGGGUUGCGGAGUCGGUUGCUAUGGCUACCACGUCCCUAAGGAUGCUUUUUGCAGCGCUAUUUGGGGGGGGGGGGCACUGCCACUAA
rnacentral:lncRNA from 1 species